rfam:Glycine soja cultivar W05 scaffold5690_1, whole genome shotgun sequence.
AUCUAGUGGUGAGGGCAAUUGGCGCAUAGUUUUUAAAUCUCUCCCGGUAUUCAUAUACGCUUUCUCCACUGAGUUGCCUAAUGCUUGAAAUAUCCUUUCUGAUGGU